GGAUCAAUUUGCUGGUCGAGACCUCUGGUACGUACUAGUUUAUUGGUUUCUUCCUUCUGAUGAAUCAUGAUGUCAUUAAUUUGAUGUCAUGGGGAAUCAGGACUGUUACUUUGAAAAAAUUAGAGUGUUUAAAGCAGGCUCGCGCUUGAAUACAUUAGCAUGGAAUAAUGAAAUAGGACGUUUGAUCCUAUUUUGUUGGUUUCUAGGAUUGACGUA
rnacentral:rRNA from 1 species